rnacentral:rRNA from 1 species
AUACGGAGGGGGCUAGCGUUGUUCGGAAUUACUGGGCGUAAAGCGCGCGUAGGCGGAUUGAUCAGUCAGGGGUGAAAUCCCGGAGCUUAACUCCGGAACUGCCUUUGAUACUGUCAAUCUUGAGUUCGAGAGAGGUGAGUGGAAUUCCUAGUGUAGAGGUGAAAUUCGUAGAUAUUAGGAAGAACACCAGUGGCGAAGGCGGCUCACUGGCUCGAUACUGACGCUGAGGUGCGAAAGCGUGGGGAGCAAACAGGAUUAGAAACCCUAGUAGUCC